rnacentral:rRNA from 1 species
CCUACGGGUGGCAGCAGUGGGGGAUAUUGCACAAUGGGGGAAACCCUGAUGCAGCGACGCCGCGUGUGGGAAGACGGUCUUCUGGAUUGUAAACCACUGUCCCCAGGGACGAAAAUGACGGUACCUGGGGAGGAAGCUCCGGCUAACCACGUGCCAGCAGCCGCGGUAAUACGUAGGGAGCAAGCGUUGUCCGGAAUUACUGGGUGAAAGGGGAGCGUAGGCGGGGAUGCAAGUUGGGUGUCAAAACUACCGGCUCAACCGAUAGUCGCACUCAAAACUGCAGCUCUUGAGUGAAGUAGAGGCAGGCGGAAUUCCUAGUGUAGCGGUGAAAUGCGUAGAUAUUAGGAGGAACACCAGUGGCGAAGGCGGUCUGCUGGACAGCAACUGACGGUGAGGCGCGAAAGCGUGGGGAGCAAACAGGAUUAGAUACCCGGGUAGUC